ensembl:lncRNA
UGGGUCUAACGGGCUGGAAAGAAGUAGGGAAGGAAUCUGGAGGGGCUGGCUGCAGUGAUCUGCCUUCCCAUGUUUGCUGUGGGUGUGCAGGUGAGCAGUGCUUGCCUCGAACUCUUCCACUAAAAUGUAAUGCUGCUCUGCCUCUGAGUUGAGCAGACAGAACUUCUGCUAAUGUGAGGAAAAACAAACCAUGUUAUAUUAGGUAGAACCCCUGAAGUUUUAGAUGCUCACCCUCACAUUUGAUGCAGGUGGAAGGAGCCAGCGUGGUGGUUCCCUGGAGCCUUUUCAGGAGAUCACCACAGGAGGGCAACAUCUCCCCUUUCUGCUUUUAGUUCAGCCUUUCUAGUUCCUGUAGCGACAGUUCUCACCUCUUGGAAGACAUCUACACCUGUAAUCGGUUUGUUAGGGAAGACAGGUCUUUGGCGUAGUUCUGAACUGCCUGCUUUAUGCAUGCAUCCCGUACCUGCAAUACUCAGCUGCCAUCCCGUCUGUCAAUGGGAAAAAGUAUCCACUGUCUACAGCCUGCUUUCUGGACCUUGCACUUGCAGUAUUCUUCAGGGAACAGCAGGACACUUUCACUUCCUUUUGGAAUAAUUGUUGAAUGUCUCUUAAUCUACCUGCUGCAAUUUUCACCAGCUAACCUCCCUAGCUAUCAUUAAUUUCAGAAAUAAUCCUUCCUUGAGGGCAGAUCAGAUGGCCUUCGAUCCUGGUCAGCGUGGUGUGACAGUUUGCUUCUUGGAGAUCAGCUGGGUGGUGUUGGUUCUUGACCUGCGAUGGAAGUUCUCUCUGAGGCAAAGCUUUGCUCCUUGCCUCAGGAAAGGAAGGCAGAAUGAGUUUCCUUUCUAAGAAGUGAACUCAUCUUUCUUACUUAGGUUUUCAGGGAGGUUGGAGGCUUUUGUUUGUUUCAUUUUGUGUGUUUCAGACUGCUAUGCUGUAGUUUUGUGACUUGGGUGCUGGUAGGGCUAGCUGUGAUCCUGGGCAGAUGUACCAGGAUUUCACCCUGAGGUUCCUUACUCUUGGGUAGAGAUGAAAGGGUUUCAUGCCACCAUUACAAUAGGCAAUCUAGGGGAAAAAAAAAUGUGACUCCAGCUCAGGAAGGUCAUUUUAGUUCAGAUCACUCACCACCAGGUCACCCCAUGCCUUGGGACUUCUGUGGCCAAAAGUAUAUGUGGGACUGCCAUCAGCUGAGCAAUUUUCUUUUAGCUUUAUGGGUUUUUCAUUCAAUAAAAUGCAAUGCAUACUGGGACCUCCUAAAAGCAUAGCUGGAAAGGGGAGAUGCAGUCUGAUACUAGCUAGGGCAUAUCCUUAUUUAUCAGUAUAGUAUUCAAGUUAAAUAAUGUGCUCAUCCCAUCUCCUAUGGUCCUCAGAUUUAUUUCAGAACUGGAACCCUGUGUGUGUGUGUGUGUGUGUGUGUGUCCUGGGGACCCAGGAACGUAGCAGAGAGGUGGUUGUUUUUUGGUUUUGUCUUGUUGAGAGUGUGUGACUCUCAGUACAGUGGUGGUAGUUCUCUGUUCUGCAAUGGACGAUAUGCACUUGCAGUGUGUGGAUAGUAGGACUGCUAGUGCUGGCAGUGGGCUCCCCGGGCUGGAGCUAAGCUCAUCUCAACAUGCAUUGAGAAUGAAGUCGAUUGAUUUUAAGCACUAAGUUGUUACUGCCACCAUCGCCACUGUUUGCCAUGGAAGUGGAACCAGUCUGAGGAGGCCUAGCAGUUUAAGUGGUUAAGUUCAUGUGACGCACUGAGAGAUAGAAAUUUUUGUUUUUAUCUUUUUUUUUAAUCUAGAAGAAAACUAGUUUUCUAAGUCUUUGCUUUGGAUAAACCAGAAAAUGAACUGUGGGUAAAUGAACAUUGCAUAGAAACACGAUUAAAGGAUUGUCCUUUGAAAACAGGAAGAGGCAGAUGCUUAUUUUAUACAGAGCUGGAGAUGUUGCAGUUGUAUUACGUAAGUGUCUUAUAACCGAAGAUCCCAAGCAGCUUCUUAUGACUUGGUGUCUGUGUGGAUAGCAGGUCAUCAGAACAGAAUGCUAUUUUUAAUGAUCAGUAUCUCUUAGAGCUGCAUAAUCUUGACAAAAUCAAUUCUCACAUAGACUUCAAGUGGGCAUUACUGUGACUGGGUCUGGCCUAAAUACAGAUUUUCACCAAUUACUGACAUUGGUUUCCCUACUUAAAACUGGAUGACUGAAAUGAACUAAAAUUUUCUUUAGAACGAAAGCAAAGCCAAAAAAAAAAGUAGUGAAUUUCUAUUCACUUUGAAGCUGUUUUGAUCUAACCCAACAAUUAAAAAAGUUCUGUUUAGAAACAGAGCAAGAAUAGAAAAACGUGCCAAGCUGCCUUCUGCUGACAUUUAAAAACCCACUCGUGGUUACCUGCUGCAUGCUUGUGGGGUCCUGGAGUCAGACAGCUCUCAGGACCCAACCACUGGGCGCCGGGCGUCCUGCUGGGGGUCUGCCAGCCCACUGAGCAGAAACACUGCUGGUAAACCUGACAGGCAUUUCUUGAAUAGAACUGGGAGUGAAACCGUGCCACAGUUUGGGUUUUUUUAUGUUCCUGAGUAAAUGGGAGGAGAAAUGGCCCAAUGAAAACCCUGUCAUUUGUAAUAGAGCUUCCUGGGUAUUUUUAAACUCAACCUUCCAUACUGUAUUUUGGAAAUGCACUUUAAGUACCUGUUGAAGAAGAUUCCUAUAUUCUGGGAUGCAGAAGGGAAGGUAAUAUUAUUUCCAAACCACUGAGAACUGUGUUUUUCUUUUUUCUUUUGCUAGUAUGUAAUAGUUCUUAUUACUGAUCAGCAAGAUAUUUCAAAGCAAAGACUUUACCUUUUGCUGCUUGUUAUCUAAUUUACAGGGAUUUAAUUUUAUGUAAUGUAUUGUAUAUUUAUACAUCUGUAAUUAAUUGCACAUUAGAUAAGAAAGAGGAUUAGCUUUAGAAUAACACCUGUUGGUACUCUCCAAUAACUAAUACUGCCUAUGCAUUUGCAUCGUUCUGGUACUCUUACACAGCCUUAGUUUGUGUUAGUUGAUACUGUGGUGGUGUUUUUGUUGAACAUGCAGUUGUUCACCUGCUGCUCGAAGGAAGGAUACUAAUGCUGCUCUGGAAUGGUUUGCUGAAUGUACUUGAAAAUGGAUCUCUAACGUGUGCGUUGCAUCUCUCCAUUGUGGUUAACAACACCAAUACGUGAUCUGAACUGUACUGUAUGUAGCAGGAAUGUAUUAAUUUUUGUACUUUGUUUAAAAACAUCAGGUGUUCAAGAACAGGAUGGAGAUUCUUUUUUUGUUCAGAAGGCCAUUUAUGCGUUCUAAGUGUUUGAAAUCAAAACUAGUCCAACUCAAACCAGAUGGUUGUGUCCAAUGUCAAUUGGAACAGUUUUAAAUUAACAGGAGCAGCCAUACGUGUUCACAGAAUGGAGGGUGUGGGGGUCCUCACUCUCCAGUUCGUACUGUUGCCAAGUAAUGGUCUGAUCCUGAGCAGUGCUGAGCUACCUCUUGCUCACGUUGAAACCUAGCUUAAAGCAGAGGAAGUCUUGGAUGAUCAGCGCUUCCCAGGAUCAGCUCUUAAUUUCCCACUCUGCUUGUUCAUACUUCAUGUGCGGUUGAUUAAUGUUCUUGACUUUGGACAUGAGACAUGCUGUUGCACUGAAAGACAUUUUUUCUUUUAAUUGCGGUUCUCGUUUCUGUUCAACCUCUCCGUACACAAGGUAUACAAGGUAUACGCUGUAUAAGUGGCCUUCUUGAACAAAUCUCUUUGCAAACUGAUUUCAUCCCAGCGAAGGAGUGCAUCAGCAACACUGUACAUUAAUUUCAGAUUUUCAUUUUCAUGUUUUAUUUUGUAAAUAUCUGAUGUUUGGAGCUUGAGUAUACAAAAUGUAAAUAUAGUUCAUGUAUUUGUACUAAUUCUGAUCCAUUUGCUGUAUAGCCUUAGGUGUGCAAUGCAGAUAUUAUCUAACUGUGUAUGGUAACCUUGCACCACUGAAUUGUUAGUGAACGAGGUGAAACAAUAAAGGUACAACCAGUGCAUUAG